GAGGGGGUGGGGGGAGAGUGUGUGUGUGUGUAACGAGGGGAGGAGGGGGAGAGCUGGCAGCCAGCCAGCCACCAUCAGAAUUAGCUCAUUGUUCAAUAGAACCAGCACAGGCAACCAAACCCCAGCCUGGGAGAGGGAGAGACUUUCUCCCAGCUGCCCCCACCCCUUUUCUUUUUCCUCCAAGGCUGCUGCACUUUGGAAGAGAUCAUGUAGAAAGGACAGAAAGGGAGCAGGGGCUUUUGUCUAUUACUCUCUUUGUGGUACCGGAGAGAAACUGCAGUCCCAAGACUUAAGAGUCUAAAAAUGUUCAACUGUCCUACACUGAGGGUACGUCUUCACUUACCG